CCGCUCCUCCCGGAGGACGCGGAGCCGAGGCGGAUCCCGCGGGGAGGGGGGGAAACCCGAGCAAACUUGGGGGAAGUUGGAGGCAGGAACCAGCCCGGCCUGUCCCUUCCCACCGCGGGAGGGCAGCGAGCAGCGGGCAGGGCUGCUGGCGGCGCCGCCGGGACUCGCCUGACGCCCACAGGCGCCCCGACGGGGCGGGGGGCUCCCGGGGCCGGCCCGGGCGGGCCGGGGGCUCGUACUACCCCGCUGCCCGUCUUUGCAUCGGGGCGCGGCUGCUGGAGAAGCCGGGUGCCCUCGGGGAAUCGGUGCCGGCCGGGACGAGCCGUCGGUCCCCGACGGGAAGAGGAACGCAGGACCGGGCACCCCGCGCCCGUCGCCGCCUCGCCCCGGCUGGCGGCCCCCGUGGCGGUGCUGCCUUCGCAUGGGCGGCAGGCACGGGCUGCGCGCCCCAGCGAGCUUGCAGAAAGCUGCUUACCUGCUCCAGCCGCAGAAAAGUUGUUGAGCAGUGCCUCCUAAUGCUUGCGUGAAGGGCAUCCUGCAGGUGUUGCUCCGUGCUGCGAGCAUUUGCAUGCUGUGUAAAUGAUACAGCGGGGUGGGGAGAAGCGCUGGGGUUUUGCCGUGCGGCGUCCUGCUGGCAAACCCAUCCCGCGGCAGCGGCAGGAUUUGAGACCUCAUCUGAGUAGACAGCUGUCAGGUUCCUGCAGACGAAACCUCCGGCAUGCAUUAGGGAAGCUAUGGAAAUAGUGCUGUUCAUCCCACGUCUUCAUAGGAUUUGGUUCCACCCACUGAAAAGGAUUGUCCUUCACCAGGAGUGCUGUUCUAUGUAUAUGGAAAUAGCAACAAAUGAAGCAUAAAGGAAGCCUUUCCAGUCUACUAUGAAUGUUGGAGUCUCACCAUCUUCUGCAGGUGCAGUUAGUCCUAAUUCUGGAGUACUCUCUUCCUGCAGUUUGUCAGCUGUCUACUUUGGAGUGUCCCCUGACAUGCUGGAUGAAAAGAAGAGCAGUCAUUUAUCCAACACAUACUGAUUUCUUCAAGAUGCUGCUGUUGGUCUGACUUC